rnacentral:rRNA from 1 species
GUCGAGUUGGCUUAGGGAUACGUUCGUUGGGUAGGGGAGCGUUCUGUAAGCCGUUGAAGGUGGCCUGUGAGGGUUGCUGGAGGUAUCAGAAGUGCGAAUGCUGACAUAAGUAACGAUAAAGCGGGUGAAAAGCCCGCUCGCCGGAAGACCAAGGGUUCCUGUCCAACGUUAAUCGGGGCAGGGUGAGUCGACCCCUAAGGCGAGGCCGAAAGGCGUAGUCGAUGGGAAACGGGUUAAUAUUCCCGUACUUGGUGUUACUGCGAAGGGGGGACGGAGAAGGCUAUGUUGGCCGGGCGACGGUUGUCCCGGUUUAAGCGUGUAGGUGUGUGUUCCAGGUAAAUCCGGUUCACUUUAACACUGAGGCGUGACGACGAGGCACUACGGUGCUGAAGCAACAAAUGCCCUGCUUCCAGGAAAAGCCUCUAAGCAUCAGGUAACAUCAAAUCGUACCCCAAACCGACACAGGUGGUCAGGUAGAGAAUACCAAGGCGCUUGAGAGAACUCGGGUGAAGGAACUAGGCAAAAUGGUGCCGUAACUUCGGGAGAAGGCACGCUGACACGUAGGUGAAGUGAUUUACUCAUGGAGCUGAAGUCAGUCGAAGAUACCAGCUGGCUGCAACUGUUUAUUAAAAACACAGCACUGUGCAAACACGAAAGUGGACGUAUACGGUGUGACGCCUGCCCGGUGCCGGAAGGUUAAUUGAUGGGGUCAGCGCAAGCGAAGCUCCUGAUCGAAGCCCCGGUAAACGGCGGCCGUAACUAUAACGGUCCUAAGGUAGCGAAAUUCCUUGUCGGGUAAGUUCCGACCUGCACGAAUGGCGUAAUGAUGGCCAGGCUGUCUCCACCCGAGACUCAGUGAAAUUGAACUCGCUGUGAAGAUGCAGUGUACCCGCGGCAAGACGGAAAGACCCCGUGAACCUUUACUAUAGCUUGACACUGAACAUUGAGCCUUGAUGUGUAGGAUAGGUGGGAGGCUUUG